UGGGGAAUAUUGCACAAUGGGCGCAAGCCUGAUGCAGCCAUGCCGCGUGUAUGAAGAAGGCCUUCGGGUUGUAAAGUACUUUCAGCGGGGAGGAAGGUGUUGAGGCUAAUAACCUCAGCAAUUGACGUUACCCGCAGAAGAAGCACCGGCUAACUCCGUGCCAGCAGCCGCGGUAAUAAGGAGGGUGCAAGCGUUAAUCGGAAUUACUGGGCGUAAAGCGCACGCAGGCGGUCUGUCAAGUCGGAUGUGAAAUCCCCGGGCUCAACCUGGGAACUGCAUUCGAAACUGGCAGGCUAGAGUCUUGUAGAGGGGGGUAGAAUUCCAGGUGUAGCGGUGAAAUGCGUAGAGAUCUGGAGGAAUACCGGUGGCGAAGGCGGCCCCCUGGACAAAGACUGACGCUCAGGUGCGAAAGCGUGGGGAGCAAACA
rnacentral:rRNA from 1 species